rnacentral:lncRNA from 1 species
GUCUGCAUGUCUUAUUCAGUUAUAUUCAUGGAAUUGUAAGUUUAUUUUCGAUUUAUGAGUUUGCUGUUCAUCUGGUAUCUUUAGUCCCAAUAUUACAAUUUAUCUGUUUUAAUAUGAUUGUCUUGAACCUCUUUUUCAUAGUUCAGUGAGUGACUAUAUAGCUACUCGAAGAAUUGUUUGCUUUGUUGAUUCUCUAUUAUAAGUU